ensembl:lncRNA
AAAAUAAAAAAGGAGAAAUAUACGUUGUAAUGUGUGAACCCUAAGAAGAAGUGUAAGCUCAGGAUAAAGCGUUUGGAAUGACAUCUCUCAGAAGUUGGCACUUCCUGGGGAAAUCCAUGAAGGGUCACAGAUGGUCUGCAAUUCCUCGGCAAGCAGAAAUCGACCCUCUGUGGUAUGAGUGGGGUACAGGUGACCAGCAAGCAGGAGUGUGGACAUGCAGAGCGGGACCAAGACAGCCAAGCUGCCCAGUCACCUGCAGAGGGAACCAGUGCCUGUGCAAGCAGGAAACUUCCACCAACAGGAAGCCACAAGGAACAAUACAGGAAGUGCUCCACCGGAAGUCUCCACAUCCACAACACCCACUCUCUGCAUGGCCACCAAAAGAGGAUAGCACCUUCCUCCCGCAAUGUCCCUCCAGCGCCCUCUACUGACAAAGCUCGACGAUGUGCUCACUGUAAGGAGAGAUGCUUAGAAGAAUUCUGUCACUGCAAUACACUAUCAUGGGGGCUUCCCUGGUGGCUCAGAGGGUAAAGCAUCUGCCUACAAUGUGGGAGACCUGGGUUCGAUCCCUGGGUCAGGAAGAUCCCCUAGAGAAGGAAAUGGCAACCCACUCCAGUACUCUUGCCUGGAAAGUCCCAUGGAUGGAGGAUCCUUGUAGGCUACAGUCCAUGGGAUUGCAAAGAGUCUGACACGACUGAGUAAAUUUACUUCACUUCACUUCAUCAUGUGUUACAUAGAUAGCUAGUGGGAAGCUGCUAUAUAGCACAGUGAGCUCAGAUGGGGCCUGGAAGGGGCUCUCCCCAAGGCUGAAGGAGCAACUUGGAAGGGGCUCUCCCCAAGGCUGAGAUGAC